rnacentral:lncRNA from 1 species
UUUUCAAAAAUAACCACGUGCUCUGAACAGUUGCAUGGCGUCAUCCGUUUCUCACGAGAGAAGUGUGCGAGAUGUUGCGGUUUGAUACUGGUUAGUUAACCAAAUGGGGUUUCGCCAUAACUUAAUGGACGCGAUCAUCAGAAAAUAGAAAUAGCGUCAGUUAAGUUAUGGUAGCCAGAACUACAGAGAGACAUGUCCAGGUGAAAAAGUAUAUGAAAGAGCAAUAACCAAAAAUUACUUACUGGUUUGAUGUCUGGCAUGUUGCUAAAGUGUAAUGGUCAGUCCUGUUCAGACUAUUGUGUGGCAAGCCUAGUUAACUGAAGGAUUUUUCAUAGGCAAGAUACUGUAUUGACCCUAGACCAUACAGAGCUGUGAAGUGUGCUACCUGAUGCAAUUCAGAAGAUUAAAUGUGAGAGAUAAUGGAAGACAUGAAUGGAAAUGCUCGGAUAUGCUGGAAAAGUUAUAAAACAAGAAUACUUUGAUAGUUACCGGAAGUGCUACAAGUGUGUUGUCAUGUGAAAUGGAAUUUACCCCAACUGUGCUGCUUGACCUGUAUCUUUAAAAGUGUGAGACAACCAUGCACCAGCUGUAAACUGAGAUGGACCCACACAUGACAUAAUGUUGACUUUUCUAUGUAUUAUCAUCUGUACAGAAUAUGUGUAUGACAAGACUGUAAACAUAUAUUGUUUAAUCAUUUUUUAUUUUCAUUAAUUUUAUAAAAUGACAUGCAUGUAAGAAGCAACUAUUAAUUUACCAGUUAUGCUAAUAGAAAUGUUAAAAUUUGAUAAAUCUAAUUUAAAGAAUAACCUUUUGUUAGACUUUUGAAGUUUAAUAUUAUGUGUCUGUGAUUUAUUUAAGGGACAAACAAUUAUAUUACAUAGAGUAAUUAUUUUAUUUUGUUAAAUAAAUGUAAUUAAACCCUUAAAGCCAAAAUGCAUAAAAAGAGGCAUAUUCAUUUAGAUAAAUAGAAUAUUAAGUAAAAUUGAAGUUUGACAUUUUCAUUUAAUAGCUAUUGAUAAUUUUGUCAGUCUGAACCAGACUGCUUAAAGCUUUGUUGAGAAAUACUGAGGUAAUUUUUAUUAUUUUUACAACACAAAUUUCUGAGUGAAAAUCCUAAAGAGUAAGAAUCAAGUUUUUAAAAAAGAUAUUGUCAGUGGAAAAGUUCCCAACACAUCUAAAACUGUACUAAAAUCAGAUUGACAACAUUUUGAGUUAUAAUACUGCCAAGAUGAUAUUACUGUUUCUGUGAGAGUUUCUACAAGAGAGAGUAUUUGUAUUAUACUUAAUAUUUGAUCUGGUAUUAUUGCAAACAUAAUCUUUCUGUACCUUAUAAAUAUUUUGAAGGUUAUUUGAGUUACAGUAUAAUGCACAUGAUUGAUAAAAUAUUGGGAAUUACAGUAUAAUAUUCAGAUCGAUAAAACUUUAGUUACAUUUUAACAAACAGUACCGGAAUUGUAAACACUGUAAAAUUUAAUACAGCUGAAUGUUAUGCCCCAAUCGAAGAAGGAGGGGUAUAUUGUUCAUGAAAAUUGACGGGGGAGAUUGGUUAUGACCAGCAGAUAACCCAUAUUGCUUUUUAGACCAGAGGUCAAGUUCAUAGUGACCCAGAAUAGUUAAACUGUUUUCUGACAAUAAAUUGAGAAUGUUGUGAAAGUUAAUAGGGAGGUUAAUCAUGACCAGCAGAUGACCCCUAUUGAUUUUGAUGUCAAAUGGUCAAGGUCACAGUGACCCAGAACAGUAGAACUUUUGUGUACAGUGACCAAAUAAUUUCUCUUCCUUGUGCAAUUACAGAAUGCAUUUUGUGUUCUGUGAGCUCUUGUUUAUAACUUUUCAUAUCUAUGUUAUACAAUACUGUAUGCUUUAUAUACAGUAACUGUUAAUUUUAUUUUUCUGCACUGUAAAUAAUCCAGUGAGUCAUUUUUUAUUGAGAAAAUUUUUUAAAGCAGCUUUUGUAAUCUGAAUUAUUAUUAGUUUUUUGAUUAUUUAUGUUGGGUAAAUAUAUAUAUGUUUGCAUCUUAUGUUAAAACAUAAUGAUAUGUUCAUCAAGUCUUGCCUUAAUAAUACAUUAUUAAACUGUUUUAUUCAUUUUUGCCAUAAGUCACAUUUACUGAAUAAUAGCAAUACAAUGAGUUUUAUAAGAUGUUAUUUUAUCUGCGUUUUCAAAGAAAAAUCUGGCUUUUUGAUUAGGUCCAUGCAGGCGGAUGGAUGGGCAGAUGGGCCGAUGGAUGGAAUAAUGUUAACCUUUUCGUUUACUCAAUAUUUGGACAAGUAUUUCACCUAGGACCUUGAAACUUCAUAGGUAUCUUGGUCUUAAAGUGUAUAUGACCCCAAAUUAUUUAAGGGUCACUGGGUCAAAGGUCAAGGUCACAGGGACUUGAAUGUGUUAACCUUAUUUCGCUCAAUAUUGGGACAAGUAUUUCACCUAGGACUUUGAAACUUCAUACAUAUGUUAGUCUUGAUAUGUACAUGACCCCUAGGGUUUUUAGGGCCACUGGAUCAAAGGUCAAGGUCACAGGUACCUGAACAUAGAAAAUGGUUUCCACUCAGUAUCUGGACAAGUAUUUCACCAAGGACAUUGAAAUUUCAUAUGUUGGUCUUAUGUGUACCUGACUCCAUUGAUUUAAGAGUUAAAAGUCAAGGUCGUAGGGGUAUAAAAAGUGAAAAUGUUUGGGUUUUUUUUACUUAUAUUUUUACACCAAUUUAUUUCUUUAAUUUCAUUUUGUAUCUGUUCAUUUUUAGCUCACCUGUCACAUAGUGACAAGGUGAGCUUUUGUGAUCAC